CAUUUAACGCAAAAAAAAAAAAAAGACGAACCCACGACCCUGAGAUUAAGAGUCUCAUGCUCUACCGACUGAGCUAGCC